rnacentral:piRNA from 1 species
UACUAGGAAAGUGUGCAUGCCACUAUUGUA